CGGAGGAUCCAAGCGUUAUCCGGAUUUAUUGGGUUUAAAGGGUGCGUAGGCGGCUUAUUAAGUCAGGGGUGAAAGACGGUGGCUCAACCAUCGCAGUGCCCUUGAUACUGAUGAGCUUGAAUACACUAGAGGUAGGCGGAAUGUGACAAGUAGCGGUGAAAUGCAUAGAUAUGUCACAGAACACCGAUUGCGAAGGCAGCUUACUAUGGUGUUAUUGACGCUGAGGCACGAAAGCGUGGGAUCAAACAGGAUU
rnacentral:rRNA from 1 species